rnacentral:rRNA from 1 species
GAUGAACGCUGGCGGCGUGCCUAAUACAUGCAAGUCGAGCGAAGAGACGGGGAUCGUGCUCCUCUGAAGUUAGCGGCGGACGGGUGAGUAACACGUGGAUAACCUACAUAUAAGAGUGGGAUAACGUCGGGAAACCGGAGCUAAUACCGGGUAAUAUAUUGAACCGCAUGGUGCAAUAGUGAAAGACGGUUUUGCUGUCACUGAUAGAUGGACCCGCGACGAGUUAGCUAGUUGGUAAGGUAACGGCUUACCAAGGCGACGAUGCGUAGCCGACCUGAGAGGGUGAUCGGCCACACUGGAACUGAGACACGGCCCAGACUCCUACGGGAGGCAGCAGUAGGGAAUCUUCCGCAAUGGGCGAAAGCCUGACGGAGCAACGCCGCGUGAGUGAUGAAGGUCUUCGGAUCGUAAAACUCUGUUAUUAGGGACGAACAAACGUGUAAGUAUCUAUGCACGUCCUGACGGUACCUAAACAGAAAGCCACGGCUAACUACGUG